UUUAAAUCAAGACAGAAAGCAGGAAUUGAUAUACAAAGGGCAUUACAAAUGGAAAAUUUGAGAUAAUAUCUUUGAAUACGAACUUGCAAAGGUAUCAAGUGUACAAAAACAAUUAGUAGGCACUAUUACACUUCAUCAAAUGAACCUAUUAGACCAAUUUAAAGAUGACGUUUUCCUGAAUUAGGGUUGGACUUGGUGCAAAGGAGCCAUCGUCCCUUGGCACGUCGACGUUUCAACACUGCCCUUCCACUGGUGGUUUUCAUCCUUCGACGGAAGCCAUGAGUCCUGGCCAGAGACUUCCGAGACCUGUUCCUCUUGGUUUGACAAAGAGCAGCCUUUCCAGCUCUGACUACUAGGCCGUAACCUCUUUCCUUUCUUACCCCACUAGAAUUCAUAUCCAAUCCCAAAGACAAACCUGAAAAGGAAGAAGGGAAUGCGAGAGAAGAAGAGAGAAAGGAGCAGUGAAGAAGUCCUGAGCGAGAUGCAGAGUUGCUGAACACAUUUAUUGAGAAAUUGCUUCUUGGUUUUGAACCAGUAAAGAGAGACAGAGAAGUUGAUGGGACCACGAGCAGUUGGCACGCUUCGAGUCGACACCCAUGGUGGCGGUGUACACGAAACCGUCGAUAAUGAAGCUGUCAGUGCCAUUCUUAUGAAUCUUAUCUGUGACAGGUUCUUG
rnacentral:misc_RNA from 1 species